rnacentral:rRNA from 1 species
GAUGAACGCUGGCGGCGUGCCCAAUACAUGCAAGUCGAGCGAACAGACGAGGAGCUUGCUCCUCUGACGUUAGCGGCGGACGGGUGAGUAACACGUGGAUAACCUACCUAUAAGACUGGGAUAACUUCGGGAAACCGGAGCUAAUACCGGAUAAUAUAUUGAACCGCAUGGUUCAAUAGUGAAAGACGGUUUUGCUGUCACUUAUAGAUGGAUCCGCGCCGCAUUAGCUAGUUGGUAAGGUAACGGCUUACCAAGGCAACGAUGCGUAGCCGACCUGAGAGGGUGAUCGGCCACACUGGAACUGAGACACGGUCCAGACUCCUACGCGAGGCAGCAGUAGGGAAUCUUCCGCAAUGGGCGAAAGCCUGACGGAGCAACGCCGCGUGAGUGAUGAAGGUCUUCGGAUCGUAAAACUCUGUUAUUAGGGAAGAACUAAUGUGUAAGUAACUAUGCACGUCUUGACGGUACCUAAUCAGAAAGCCACGGCUAACUACGUG